rnacentral:rRNA from 1 species
AUUGCCUUAGUAGCGGCGAGUGAAGCGGCAAAAGCUCAAAUUUGAAAUCUGGCACUUUCAGUGUCCGAGUUGUAAUUUGAAGAAGGUAUCUUUGGGUCUGGCUCUUGUCUAUGUUUCUUGGAACAGAACGUCACAGAGGGUGAGAAUCCCGUGCGAUGAGAUGUCCCAGACCUAUGUAAAGUUCCUUCGAAGAGUCGAGUUGUUUGGGAAUGCAGCUCUAAGUGGGUGGUAAAUUCCAUCUAAAGCUAAAUAUUGGCGAGAGACCGAUAGCGAACAAGUACAGUGAUGGAAAGAUGAAAAGAACUUUGAAAAGAGAGUGAAAAAGUACGUGAAAUUGUUGAAAGGGAAGGGCUUGAGAUCAGACUUGGUAUUUUGUAUGUUACUCUCUCGGGGGUGGCCUCUACAGUUUACCGGGCCAGCAUCAGUUUGAGCGGUAGGAUAAGUGCAAAGAAAUGUGGCACUGCUUCGGUAGUGUGUUAUAGUCUUUGUCGAUACUGCCAGCUUAGACUGAGGACUGCGGCUUCGGCCUAGGAUGUUGGCAUAAUGAUCUUAAGUCGCCCGU